rnacentral:rRNA from 1 species
AUACGUAGGGGGCUAGCGUUAUCCGGAAUUACUGGGCGUAAAGGGUGCGUAGGUGGUUUCUUAAGUCAGAAGUGAAAGGCUACGGCUCAACCGUAGUAAGCUUUUGAAACUAAGAGACUUGAGUGCAGGAGAGGAGAGUAGAAUUCCUAGUGUAGCGGUGAAAUGCGUAGAUAUUAGGAGGAAUACCAGUUGCGAAGGCGGCUCUCUGGACUGUAACUGACACUGAGGCACGAAAGCGUGGGGAGCAAACAGGAUUAGAUACCCUGGUAGUCCACGCCGUAAACGAUGAGUACUAGCUGUCGGGGGUUACCCCCCUCGGUGGCGCAGCUAACGCAUUAAGUACUCCGCCUGGGAAGUACGCUCGCAAGAGUGAAACUUAAAGGAAUUGACGGGG